ACGGGGGGUGCGAGCGUUGUCCGGAAUCACUGGGCGUAAAGGGCGCGUAGGUGGUUUGAUAAGGGUGUGGUGAAAGCCCGGGGCUCAACCCCGGGUCUGCCGUGCCGACUGUCAAACUCGAGGGCUGUAGAGGCAGACGGAAUUCCGGGUGUAGCGGUGAAAUGCGUAGAUAUCUGGAGGAACACCGGUGGCGAAGGCGGCAUCCUGGACCGGCAUUGACGCUGAGGCGCGAAAGCCAGGGGAGCAAACGGGA
rnacentral:rRNA from 1 species